CCCUUAGAUGUUCUGGGCUGCACGCGUGCUACACUGAUUAUUUCAACAAGUGUUUUAACUGGAGAGUUCGCGUAAUCCUGAAAUGUUAUCGUGAUGGGAGUAGAGUAUUGUAUUUGUUAAUCUUUAACGAGGAAUUCCUAGUAAGUGUAGGUUUAUAAGUUGUUCUGAUUACGUCCCUGCCCUUUGUACACACCGCCCGUCGCUCCUACCGAUUGAUUGAUCCGGUGAAUUACAUAGAAUUUUGCGUUUUACAUGACAGAAGACGAAGUGUUUUAAACCUUAUCAUUUAGAGGAAGGAGAAGUCGUAACA
rnacentral:rRNA from 1 species